GACGAACGCUGGCGGCGUGCUUAACACAUGCAAGUCGAACGGAAAGGCCCUGCUUUUGUGGGGUGCUCGAGUGGCGAACGGGUGAGUAACACGUGAGUAACCUGCCCUUGACUUUGGGAUAACUUCAGGAAACUGGGGCUAAUACCGGAUAGGAGCUCCUGCUGCAUGGUGGGGGUUGGAAAGUUUCGGCGGUUGGGGAUGGACUCGCGGCUUAUCAGCUUGUUGGUGGGGUAGUGGCUGACCAAGGCUUUGACGGGUAGGCGGCAUGAGAGGGUGACCGGCCACAAUGGGACUGAGAGACGGCCCAGACUCCUACGGGAGGCAGCAGUGGGGAAUAUUGCACAAUGGGCGGAAGCCUGAUGCAGCGACGCCGCGUGCGGGAUGACGGCCUUCGGGUUGUAAACCGCUUUCGCCUGUGACGAAGCGUGAGUGACGGUAAUGGGUAAAGAAGCACCGGCUAACUACGUG
rnacentral:rRNA from 1 species